UGGCUCUCCCAUCGAUGAAGAACGCAGCGAAAUGCGAUAAGUAAUGUGAAUUGCAGAAUUCAGUGAAUCAUCGAAUCUUUGAACGCACCUUGCGCCCUUUGGUAUUCCGAAGGGCAUGCCUGUUUGAGUGUCAUUAAAUUCUCAACCUUGCUUGUUUUGUGAGGCUUGGAUGUGUGAGGGCUUGCUGGCUUCCUUCAGUGGAUGGUCUGCUCCCUUUAAAUUCAUUAGUGGGAUCUUUUGUGGACCGUCACUUGGUGUGAUAAUUAUCUACGCCGCCUGACUGAAGCAAGACUUGUGGGAACCCGCUUAUAACUGUCAUUUGUGACUUUUCUGACAACUUGACCUCAAAUCAGGUAGGACUACCCGCUGA
rnacentral:misc_RNA from 1 species